rnacentral:tRNA from 1 species
AGGAUUGUAGCUCAGCGGUAGAGCGCUUGCCUCUCACACAUUAGGUCCUAGGUUGAAUCUUCAGCACCACAUAAAGAUAAAAAAUUAAAAAUAUAUUUUUUUUUAAAAAAAAGAAUGCUUAACUGAGCUCCCAGUGCAAGGGCAAAAAUUCAAUACUGGGUAAUAUUA